CGGGGAUUCUGUUUCCGAACCGAAGCAAAGACAAGUUGCCUGAAUGGAUAGAGAAGACGCGCAAUAGCAUUUCCUCUAGCUGUAACGAUAAUAUGAAUACCAGUUCAUUUAGCGGAAUUAUAUACAGAAAUGUUUCAGAGAUCCUACCGACAUCAUUUGGCCCUGAAAGAGACCUACAGCAGCAAUUAAAUACGCCAGUAGUAUCAUUUUCGUAUUAUCCAAAAGUUGCGGGUAAACUGAAAAAUCCGAUAGAGAUAACUCUUCAAAC
rnacentral:lncRNA from 1 species